rnacentral:tRNA from 1 species
GCCCUUGUAGCUCAGCGGAUAGAGCGGCGGCCUACGAAGCCGUGUCGAGCGGAGGUUCGAAUCCUCCCAGGGGUAC